rnacentral:rRNA from 1 species
CAGCAGUGGGGAAUAUUAGGCAAUGGGCGCAAGCCUGAUCCAGCAAUGCCGCGUGAUGAAGCCCAAGUUCUUCUAAAGGAAAGGGCUUUGGAAGAAAGAAAACCCUUGUUCCCGCCUAGGUAUGACGGUACCGCAAGAAUAAGCACCGGCUAACUACCUA